GCCGGGUGUGGUGGUGCAUGCCCGUAAUGCCAGCAACUGAGGAGGCUGAGGCAGGAGGGUCAUUAGUUCUAAGCCAGCUUCAGCAACUUAGCAAGGCCAUAAACAACUUAGUGAGAUCCUGUUUCAA
rnacentral:sRNA from 1 species